CUUGUGCAAGGACGAGUUGUAUAUAUGUAUAUACACCUUCUAUUGGUUGAUGCAUAAAGUUUAUUGAUGUGUUUGUGCUUUAGAUAUUUGCCUCUGUAAUACACUGCUGUUUUAUGAAUUGAGCUGAUGUAUGCAAGGAAUACUGGUUGGUGUAUAGAUCAAUACUUGGAUAAAGAUAUUCUCUGUGGACAUAUGAGUCAUACUAUUUUGACAUUUAAUAAAUUGGAUCAGAGCAUAUGCAUCUUUGGGUAAUAAUUUCAUUUGUAACCUGUAUUUGUAAACACAGCUGUAACUUACUAAAGUUGCAUUGCUGAAGAUCUGUAAAAUACUUUGAUGUAUUAUUAUGAAUGGGGUUUAAUGGAAACCAUAAAAAUAACUACAGAGUAAUUAUGUAGGUGGGUUGACUGUUUAUCUACAUAAGAUCAUAUCAGAUGGGUUGCUUAGUUGGUUUUACUCAGGUAUACAGUAAGUUAUGCAGGAUCUGUACAGCAAGUACUCCUUAAAUGUAUUUCCUAACUACAAACACCACCUAUUAAUCAAUUACGUACCUCCUUUCAAGGCCCUGAGUACACCAGCAGGUUCUAAUUACCCUGACUAGCCUCGUCUGGGCUCCCACCCACACAUAUUUUAUCCACUGACUGCAUUUAAGUUCAGGCUAUAGGCUAUCCCUUUUCUGUUGUCUGAGCUAUGUUGAUGGUUUGGGCCUUGCCUUAUACUUUGCUGUCCUUGCCCUAUAAGUAGGCUUAGUGUUCAUUAGACCUGCAGAGCUCAUCUGGCUCAGAUAUAGUGGGACUGCAUCCCUUGUAUGUGAGGUCUCUGUGCCUGCUAUCUUGAUGCUAUCAUUAGUUCCUGGUCUGAUUUCUCUUGCAGACUAUCUCACUUUUACUAUUCUUUCCAUUACAAUUUUAAACCAAUGUAUUUUCAGUGUAGCAAAGCCAUAAAAAUAAGAUAUGCACACAAACUCUUUAUAUGUGCAAGCACAAGUUUAUUUUGACUUCUCAAAUACCAAAGCUUUAUAAGACAACAAAAGGUUUCUUCUUCCCUUCUCUGCCAUAUCUUUUAACUGCACUUCAAAAGCAGCUUUUUUUGCACAUACUCUUGACAUGGCUGCUUUCUAAGUACUGCUGA
rnacentral:lncRNA from 1 species